CACAAAAAAUAUGAAGGCUCUCCAGCUUAUUUCUUUUUGGCUGGAGGCUGAAUUAUUUUUCACCCAUGUCUUUUGCGCACUUGUUGUUUCCUGGGCGGGUUCGCCCGCCACCAGGACCACACCAUAAACCUUUUUUAUGCAGUUGCAAUCAGCGUCAGUAUAACAAAUGUAAAUCAUUUA
rnacentral:misc_RNA from 1 species